rnacentral:rRNA from 1 species
UACGUAGGGGGCUAGCGUUGUCCGGAAUCAUUGGGCGUAAAGCGCGUGUAGGCGGUCCGUUAAGUCCGCUGUGAAAGUCGGGGGCUCAACCCUCGGAUGCCGGUGGAUACUGUCGGGCUUGAGUACGGAAGAGGCGAGUGGAAUUCCUGGUGUAGCGGUGAAAUGCGCAGAUAUCAGGAAGAACACCCGUGGCGAAGGCGGCUCGCUGGGACGGUACUGACGCUGAGACGCGAAAGCGUGGGGAGCGAACAGG